rnacentral:lncRNA from 1 species
GACGACAAUGGAUGAAGAUGCACUAACCGGGGACAUGUGGCAACACCUCACUUGGAGCCAAUGAAGAUGGCACCAGCGGAGAUUCGCAAUGAUGACGCACUAGGGGCGGCGACUUGACGACUUGCACAUGCUGAAUCUGGCCGUUCUGGGGAGCAAGGAAAAUGCCAAGGUCAUAGUUUUUUCCCUUUAUUUAGUCUUGUAUAUUGAGGUGUGAGCCUAUGUGCUCUUGUAUGCAUGUUUUUGGUUUUGUAUAUAAUUAUGGAUAG